AUUGAACGCUGGCGGCAGGCCUAACACAUGCAAGUCGAGCGGAGCGGCGGACGGGUGAGUAAUGGCUAGGAAUCUGCCUGGCAGUGUGGGAUAACGUCCGGAAACGGGCGCUAAUACCGCAUACUAUCGGAUGCGCCUAGGUCGGAUUAGCGAGUUGGUGGGGUAGGGGGCCUCCACGGCGACGAUCCGUAACUGGUCUGAGAGGAUGAUCAGGCACACUUGAACUGAGACACGGUCCAGACUCCUACGGGAGGCAGCGGUGUGGAAGAUUGCACAGUAGGCGCAAGCCUGAUCCAGCCAUGCCGCGUGUGUGAAGGAGGUCUUCGGAUUGUAAAGCACUUGUAGUUGGGAGGCGGUACCAACAGAAUAAGCACCGGCUGACGUCGUGCCAGCAGCCGCGGUAAUAC
rnacentral:rRNA from 1 species